GUAGGGGGCAAGCGUUGUCCGGAUUUAUUGGGCGUAAAGCGCGCGUAGGCGGCGCGGUAUGUCGUGCGUGAAAUCUCCCGGCUUAACUGGGAGGGGCCGUGCGAAACUGCCGGGCUUGAGGUCAGAAGGGGAAAGUGGAAUUCCGGGUGUAGUGGUGGAAUACGUAGAUAUCCGGAGGAACACCAGCGGCGAAGGCGGCUUUCUGGUCUGAUACUGACGCUGAGGCGCGAAAGCGUGGGGAGCGAUCCGGAUUAGAUACCCGGGUAGUCCACGCCGUAAACGAUGAGUACUAGGUGUCGGGGGUAUCGACCCCCUCGGUGCCGUCGCUAACGCAUUAAGUACUCCGCCUGGGGACUACGGCCGCAAGGCUAAA
rnacentral:rRNA from 1 species